UACGUAGGGUGCGAGCGUUGCCCGGAUUUAUUGGGCGUAAAGGGCGCGUAGGCGGCCUGGCGCGUCGGCUGUGAAAUCUCCCGGCUCAACUGGGAGGGGACGGCCGAUACGGCUGGGCUUGAGCGAGGUAGGGGAGAGUGGAAUUCCCGGUGUAGUGGUGAAAUGCGUAGAUAUCGGGAGGAACACCAGUGGCGAAGGCGACUUCCUGGCCUGUUCUUGACGCUGAGGCGCGAAAGCUAGGGGAGCAAACGGGG
rnacentral:rRNA from 1 species